AACCACACAUUCGAUGAAUGGAUUCAUCCGUGAGAUGAAGUGGCUGUUUCACCUAAGACGAAGACAUGGCAUCCUAUUACUAGCCAUCGCACGAAAUUAAUAGGAUACCACGUCCUCAUCCUAGAUGUAACAACCACGUCAUCUCACGGCUGAAUCUAUUCAUCGAUAGUGUAUUA
rfam:Oryza glaberrima chromosome 6 Oglab06_unplaced152_1, whole genome shotgun sequence.